GAUCCUGGCUCAGGAUGAACGCUGGCGGCGUGCCUAACACAUGCAAGUCGAACGGACUUACAUUGAAGCCUAGCGAUAUGUAAGUUAGUGGCGGACGGGUGGGUAACGCGUGGGUAACCUGCCUUGUACUGGGGGACAACAGUUGGAAACGACUGCUAAUACCGCAUAAGCGCACAGCUUCACAUGAAGCAGUGUGAAAAACUCCGGUGGUACAAGAUGGACCCGCGUCUGAUUAGCUGGUUGG
rnacentral:rRNA from 1 species